UGACCUCGGAUCAGGUAGGAGUACCCGCUGAACUUAAGCAUAUCAAUAAGCGGAGGAAAAGAAACCAACAGGGAUUGCCUCAGUAACGGCGAGUGAAGCGGCAAAAGCUCAAAUUUGAAAUCUGGCCCCGUCAGGGGUCCGAGUUGUAAUUUGGAGAGGA
rnacentral:ncRNA from 1 species